GAUGAACGCUAGCGGGAGGCCUAACACAUGCAAGCCGAGCGGUAUUUAUUCUUCGGAAUAGAGAGAGCGGCGUACGGGUGCGGAACACGUGUGCAACCUGCCUUUAUCAGGGGGAUAGCCUUUCGAAAGGAAGAUUAAUACCCCAUAAUAUAUUGAAUGGCAUCAUUUAAUAUUGAAAACUCCGGUGGAUAGAGAUGGGCACGCGCAAGAUUAGAUAGUUGGUAGGGUAACGGCCUACCAAGUCAAUGAUCUUUAGGGGGCCUGAGAGGGUGAUCCCCCACACUGGUACUGAGACACGGACCAGACUCCUACGGGAGGCAGCAGUGAGGAAUAUUGGACAAUGGGUGAGAGCCUGAUCCAGCCAUCCCGCGUGAAGGACGACGGCCCUAUGGGUUGUAAACUUCUUUGUAUAGGGAUAAACCUUUCCACGUGUGGAAAGCUGAAGGUACUAUACGAAUAAGCACCGGCUAACUCCGUGCCAGCAGCCGCGGUAAUACGGAGGGUGCAAGCGUUAUCCGGAUUUAUUGGGUUUAAAGGGUCCGUAGGCGGAUCUGUAAGUCAGUGGUGAAAUCUCAUAGCUUAACUAUGAAACUGCCAUUGAUACUGCAGGUCUUGAGUAAAGUAGAAGUGGCUGGAAUAAGUAGUGUAGCGGUGAAAUGCAUAGAUAUUACUUAGAACACCAAUUGCGAAGGCAGGUCACUAUGUUUUAACUGACGCUGAUGGACGAAAGCGUGGGGAGCGAACAGGAUUAGAUACCCUGGUAGUCCACGCCGUAAACGAUGCUAACUCGUUUUUGGGUCUUCGGAUUCAGAGACUAAGCGAAAGUGAUAAGUUAGCCACCUGGGGAGUACGUUCGCAAGAAUGAAACUCAAAGGAAUUGACGGGGGCCCGCACAAGCGGUGGAUUAUGUGGUUUAAUUCGAUGAUACGCGAGGAACCUUACCAAGGCUUAAAUGGGAAUUGACAGGUUUAGAAAUAGACUUUUCUUCGGACAAUUUUCAAGGUGCUGCAUGGUUGUCGUCAGCUCGUGCCGUGAGGUGUUAGGUUAAGUCCUGCAACGAGCGCAACCCCUGUCACUAGUUGCCAUCAUUCAGUUGGGGACUCUAGUGAGACUGCCUACGCAAGUAGAGAGGAAGGUGGGGAUGACGUCAAAUCAUCACGGCCCUUACGCCUUGGGCCACACACGUAAUACAAUGGCCGGUACAGAGGGCAGCUACCUAGCGAUAGGAUGCGAAUCUCGAAAGCCGGUCUCAGUUCGGAUUGGAGUCUGCAACUCGACUCUAUGAAGCUGGAAUCGCUAGUAAUCGCAUAUCAGCCAUGAUGCGGUGAAUACGUUCCCGGGCCU
rnacentral:rRNA from 1 species